ACUUUUUCAUAACACUAUCGUGUCCAUAAAUUUCGUAUUAAUUUAAAAAAAGUACUCUGCGACUUGUGUGGACGUUAAAUAUUUUAUAAUUUCUGCAAUAGUACUAAUUUGUUGUGUCUGAAUGAAUGCUGAUUCCGACUUUUGUAAAUUAACACUCACUAUACGUAAUUAUAAGUCGGCCAAAAUAAACAGUCGUUACAUCACAUGAUUUGAAUAGUACGCAUUCGUUCAUUUUGCCGGAUAAUAGUGGAGUGCAUUAUAAGAAAUACGAGCAAGUGCCGAUGACAGCUUUUGUUAAAUAAACAGUUGUAAAAGUUAACUUGCAAAACUCACACGGCCCUGUUAGAAUCGAGAAGCCUGCACAAUACAUUCGGGUACCGGAGACAGCCAACAGUCGACUUUUGACAACGAUGGUGGAAAUACUUAUUUUAAAAGUGAGAUAAACCAGUUUGGCGUUUCUACAAAGUAGCAAGUUUGCAUUCAUUGCUCGCAGCGAAUUCGCCAGCCGCCAUAAUAGUUAGUGUUUUGAGAAGCAUUCUAAUGAAAAAAGUGUUUGUGUAGUCAAAAUAAGUGCUGAUAAACGAAUAAGGUACAUAACGAGACGCCAUUGGUGUGAAUUUGACGUCUGUUAUUUGUCAACUGUCAACUGUCAGUGUCACUAACGUCAACUAGCCGCGUUCCAGUGUCAUAAUUAGGGAUAGUGUUACAUCUUUAACAUACGCUUGUUAAUCCAAGUUAUGCAUUCUCUCGAGUCAUUCACUUCACGUUAGAUAAACGUUGUAUUAUUUCUAA